UCCCUCUGCAGAAAGAAAGGAACAACCAGGAAAGGAAGUUAAUCCUUAUCAAUAUUGAAGAGCAAUAAACGAGUGCAUUGUGUGCGUAAAACACUGAGAAGGCGAGAGUGCACAUUCAGACAGGGCUGCUGCUCUGGGAAACAACAGUGAAUUAAGCCAGCAGUGCAAAUGCAGCUAUUUCAUUUACAUCCCAAUGGUCUGUGUCACCAAGUGACACACUGAUUGUAGCGUUUCCCUGUCAAAAGUAAACACAGACCUCUUCACAAAAGCACUUGGUUUCUGCUUGCUCAUCAUCUAAAGAAAUCAGGCAGAUAAAAUCCCACCCAGCAGCAGUGAACAGGGAUCAAUUAAGAGUUACUCAUAAUGUUUCCAAUCGGAAGUAGAAAGCUGUCCUGCUCCACUUUACAAAAUUCUGUCUGCAGGGAUCCAUAAAAAUAGUCCAUUUUGUAGAUGAUAUAAUGCCAACUUCCCAUCUCCUGCAGAACCAGCAGAGCACAGCAUUUAGCCUUGGAAGCCCCUACAGCUCGUAUAUCCUGUACUGCCAUUUGUGCCCUCCUCUGUAACUCACACCAAUGACAUCAGUGUGUGUUUUACAGGAAACCUGCUGAGCCCAGAGUGCUAGGGGGGAGAGGGGAGUUCACCCCUGAGCACAGGCCCAGGACCUGCCAGUGGGCAAUGAGGGGAACACCAAAUGGAGAACUCCAGGCCCUCGCUGCACUGCCCUCCCUGCCCACUCCACACAGACAGAAACGACUCCAUGGAGCACUAACCACAGAAGGAAAGUGCACAGGAGAAUGAUAUUUCAUAAUAAUGAGAAUAAUAAUUCAGGUGUUUUAAAAAUCAGUCUCAGUGACUGUUUUACAGCUGAGAAACAGAACCAUAUUCAAAAGAUGCUUGUGGUCAGUGAACUCCCAGGGGUCCAACAUCAAAUAUUAAUCCUCAUCUUCAGAACAACACAGCCAGGUGGGACAGACAGAGGUGACCUCCUCAAAUGGAUUUUAAGAGAGGAAAAAACUAUGCUGGCCUUCAGUCACAAAAUGGCUGUGUAUCUUUCACACCAAAACAGGCUGCAAAGGGAAUCUGUGCACUAUGGAAAUUCAAGGAAAAACACCACAUUCAUAUGGAAACUCGUAGGUGGAGGAACAGCAACCUACAUGCGGAGAUUUCAAAAAGGACCUCUUCUCACUUGAAAGGUAAGUUAUGUUCUCCAAGACAAAACAAUAAAAGUCAGCAUACAUCAGCACUUAAGACAAAAGCAUUUCCAAGAGUUGUUCAGUGAACACAUUCCUACAAAAUGUGAUUUCUUGCAUAAGCACAUUAUUCACCUGUUUUCACUUCCUCCUGCCUACCAGCUAUGCUUAGAUACUUUUUCUCUCCGAAAUCACCACCAUGAAACUGCAAUUUUCAUUUCUGUUCCAAGCAGAUUUUGCAUGCUCGGCUUAAACAAAAACAGGACAAGUAGAGCUCUAAGAGGAUGCUUAAAGAGGUCUCUUCUAUGCAGGAACUUCCUCUGUGGCAGGAAGCAGAACUUCUACAAAUUCUCUCUCCUUACUGUGACCCUAUUGUGCAACUAGACCAGGCACUGCCCUGUACAGGAAACAUAAAAUCACAUUACGACGAGUUGUACGUGGGGAAAGAGCCAUGCAGAGCAUCCUAAUAAAACAUCCACACAGAAGAACUGAACAAGCAGAACACUCCUUCUGAAAAACUCCAAGGCACCGAACGCUCCAAGGACUCACUGCAGUGAGUGCAACCCCAGCGCUCGGAGGAGGCAGUUAUCAUGAUGUUCAUUUGACAGCCAAGGACAUGGAAGCAGAGUUGUAAAGUGAUUUCCGGAACAUACUGCAGACAGCCAGAGGCUGAUCCAGACAGUGAAAUCCUAUUACCUGAUUUCUGAUUUCCAGCACCGCCACAAUGCCAGACUGAGCAGGGUCUCUCUUUCCCAGCUUCCCACUUCUUUUCUCUGUCUAGCACAGCGUAAACACUUCAAAAACACAUUGUCCCACCACACUAACAACAAAGCCAAUAUUCUGUGAUCUCUCCACUCUUGACAUUUUUUCCUCUCUAGUUCUUGCCUCAAUGUGGAAGAAAAAAAAAAAAAGGAAAGAAAAAAGCAAUUAAGAAAGUGUGCAGUGCUUUCCUUUCUUGUUCCUUGAAGCAGGUGAUGUAAUUUUCUGUUUCACUGGUGAUGGAUUUGCUUGGUAUUUCAAGCCCCUCCAAAAGCAGAUUACUGACAAAAAAUUUCCCAUCACACACAUUGUCUUAGUUCACACUCAAAUGGUACCAAUUUGUUCUAGUUAAUACUUCAUAUUUAAAAUACAACUAUAUCAGGUUCAAGGAAGGAAACAGCUCUAUUUUAAGAAAUACAGCUCUAUUUAAACACUUGAUUAGGCCAAAUGAAGGCUUUAAUGUAACAAUUAUAGAUGAAGAAACUGAUUCAGUGCUCUUCUGGUCUGUGCAGUCAUUGCUAUGGAUAACUCUAUUUUGUCCUUUCCUUAAAAUGUGGCUGUCAAAAGUAUCCUGUCAGAUCUGUCACUGGGAAUAAGACUCAGAAGUAGAUAAGUCAUUCAUUUUUCUUUUGGGAGCAUGCAGCUACCAAAAAGAAAGAACAAACCCCACAGUACACGUUGACACAACAGACUUGUCUCUUGGAUUAGUCUUUAAAGGAAGUCAGUGAGAUGUCAUAUUUGGCUAUUAUGCAAUACAAUGUGAACAACUGGAUCUCCAAGGAGAUCUUAGCCACAAGCAUGAAAUCUGAGAGAAAAGAGGGCAAAUCAUUAUUUCUCACAAAAUUCUUUGUGCUGGGUAGUCUGCAAAGGAAAGUCACAGGAUGGAGCACAGCUUGAAGAAUUCCCGUUUCUCCUUUUGACACCGUGCAGGGAAGGGCUCACUGACCAGGCUGGUUCACCAUAGGUUUGAAAUGCAGUGGAAAAGCCCCAUCAGUGUUUCACCACGCUACAGCACCACAUUCAGACAGCCCCACUCCACCCCACACCAUAAAGUUCAUUCAACACCAUCUCACCCCUGGUUUUGGGGCACAACAAAAGCCCCGAGUGUCAGAUGCUGUUUUACCAUCUAAGCUGUAAGGAAGGAGAUGUUCCCUGAAAUCCCUUGGAAGCCUACGCUGUGCUGGAGAGAUCUCCUGCUGAACCUGUGCCUGUCUGAGUGCUGCUGCAGAACAGCAUCUCUCCACCUUGUGUUUGGAAACAGAACUGGCAGAAAUGCUCUUUUUACAUCAGGGAAGCAACUCCACCCUGGCACACCUGAGAGUAUCCCUUCCUUCCAGGGGGAGGCUUUCCUUCCUUCUGCAAGCCAGCUCUGUAGGUUUAACAGUUCCUGAAGAGAGUCUUCGGGAUAACACAAAUCCAACCUGAAAGCUGGCUGGAGGCAAAGGAAACCAGCAUUGCCAUGAAUUUUUAUUUCUAUUUAAUUCUUCCAUAUCAGUUCAUUAUGAAAAUAUCUCACUUGCAAAUGAGACACCCACAGAAAUUUAUAAAAACAAGGGAAAGGCAAGAUGCAAACUUUACUGAGCACCUGUAUCAUUUCCCAUGAUUCAGAAGUGCACUGGCAGAGUCAGUGACACUGGAUCAUUUCCAACACCAGAUCCUUUUGUCAGAUUUUAAUCUCUACGAUGUAUUUCCAUUCACCUAAACCCACUGAAACAGGCAUAACACAUCAUUCUUCCCUAGCCCUGCUGUUUAAAUAUCUGCUUAGUUAGGCUCAGUUAGCAAAACAGUUAAGUUAAAGGUAAGCUGAGACCAGGAGAUAUUCAGGAAGCACCAUUGUACAGAGAUCCUGCAGUAAUACAGGGAAAGAGAAUGGAAUUUGGAUUCCCUGAACUGUAACUCCAAACACUGAUGUGCACUUUGACCACAGUGCUUGUGUUUGAGAGGCUGCAGGGACACCUGCAGCUAAAAAUGAGGGUCAAGGAAAUGAUGUUCUGCCUGUGGCAGAGAUGUCUCAAAAACGUUCCUUUUCAGAUCCUCAAACUGCCUUUCUGCAUUCAAAAAUUCAUUUUCACUUUGAGAUACAGAGGGUUUAUUAUCCACUUCAAGUCUAUUUGUUUUAGCAAGGAAGAGACACCCUGAGUGGCUGAAAAGCAGUGCUUGGAAAUGGCUGAUUACCUUCCGUACUUGCAGCUGAUGUCUCGCAGCUCCUCUAGACAUGGGAGCUUCCUCUCACAUAGAGAUAAGGGCUGCAGCACAGACACACACUGGGAAGGAACAGCCAGAUCCACUCUGCCAGCCAGCACACGCUCUGCAUUUCAACAGCUCUGGUCAACAGCAGCACUGUGCUGAAGGGUACCACCAUCAGAAACAUUCUGGGUGGAAAAUAUCUGUGUGCAGGUCAUUUUUGUUAUGCAACAUAACUUAAUGCCUGAACAAUGAGAUCUCUGCUACCAAAGACUGUCUAGGCUAAAUUAAACCACCUGUAUAUCCCUCCAGCCACAAUGAGGAUCAGAUAAAUGGGGCAGUGACACUGCCCAGUCAGCUGGGACAAGGCCCUGCUCUGGGUAACACAGUUCCUGUGGGCAGCAGCGGUUUUUCCAGCACAGAAUUUAUUCAGUGGUUUGUUCCUCACAACAUAACAGCUCCAAGAGGUUCUGUGUGUCUCACAUAUACACAUUCUGACACACAGCAUUUGGUGCUGAAGGUUUUCUAUGUCUCCUUGGUGACUAUGCAAAAUUCAAGGUGCACAUCAUUCACUCUGAUUUCGAUCUAACCCAUACCCACAACAAUUUCAGAGCUUGGCUUGCAUUCCUCAGCACAUCACAGCAAGAGAAGAGAAGGGUGAGCAGGAAGACAAGCACAGCCUUCACCACCAUCCCCGUGACAACAGGAUCAGACAUUCAGGAUAAAUUCCCCAGGGAUUUUCUUGCAUCACUUAGCAGAGACAGCCUCUCCCAGCUACACAGUGUUAGGGUUUGCUUCCAGUCUUGGUUACGCUGGAACUACCGCAGACCUGUCUCACAAUUGCCAACACAAGGCCAGCAACUGAUUGGUAACCAGGUUCAAAUUAUUGGUUUACCAGGGCUGUAAAACCUGUCACAUUCAACAUUUUUAGUCCACAGCUUUUAGCUAAUAAACCCCUGGCUCAAUAUGUCAUCCAAACCCGCCACAAGGCUGGUGAAACCAGCUGUCUGCCAGACUAGAUUCCAGCUCUUCUGAGUAAUCAAACCAUGUCUCGUCCCUGUCACACUCUGUGCCCAGCAUGAAAAAUCAUCUCCUUCCUGAGAUGGAGGAUGGGGGCUAGAUCACAACUCUGAACCAUAUGCCAGGUAAGCAAAGAACCUCACAUUCUUUCAGCCCAUGUCCUAUGUGUUCAUAUUGUUUUAGAUUAACUCUGUGCCACAGUAUCAGUAAAACUGUAAUGUUGUCAGACUUCACAUCGCAUCUUUAAAAUCAGCGCUGGGUUUCUCUGAUGUGUAGGGAGGUCCUUGAUGCUCAAACACCUUUCAUUACUUUUAUCAGUAUUUCAAACCUACAUCGUAUUAAGAGCAAUUACUUUUUAGUGCAUUAAUCCACUAGCAGAAAAUAGAUAGCUUUUCUAUAUUAAAGCUGAUCCAUUAUGGACCUGUUGGAGCAGGUCCAGAGGAGGCCACGAAAUUGCUCUGAGGACUGGAGCUGCUCUGCCAUGGAGACAGGCUGGGAAAGCUGGGAUUGUUCAGCCUGGAGAAGAGAAGGCUCCAGGGAGAACUUAGAGCCCUUUCCAGUGCCUAAAGGGGCUGCAAGAGUGACUGGAGCUCAAGAGGGACUGGAAAGGAAUAGGACAAAGGGGAAUAGCUUCCCAUGGACAGAGGGCAGGGUUAGAAUGGGAUGGACUUUGCAGUCACUGAAACCCAAAACAUUCUGUCAUUCUGUGAUUCUAUACUGACACUGAGGGCUCCAGGGUCCCUUCUGUAGAGUUUUAUCUAUACUUUUGUCUGCAUUUCAGCAACUAACACAAUUUUUACCACAUCCUCUCAAAAGCCUUGGCUUUUUCUGCUUGCCCAGCUCUAUCAACAAAACUGCUAAAACCCUAAAAAAACAUUCUUUCAAGCUGCACAUUAAAUAAUAAGCAUUUUGAAAAUACCAGUGGGACAGUGCUCAACUCCAAGGUACCAGAAAGGCUCACUGAAGCAUGGCACAGUGUUUUAGUGCAACAACUAAUCCAUGCUCUGCUCUGUUAUCUCUCUAAUCCUUCAUCUGCUGAGCCAGUUCCCUCCCCACCUUGAACGAAUCCAGGUUCGGCCUUAUUUGCACUGUUCAUCCAUUUGAGUGUUGCCUCUGGAAGUUCAGCCUGAGUGUGGACAAUCUGUGUGCUUAUUCUUGCCUACACACUUGGCUUCUGGGGUCUCCAAGGUAAUGGACAAAUAAAUAUGGCAUCUUACUUGCACCCUGAUAUUGGAACUCGGGAUUACUUUGGCAACUCUACCUUGGAGCAAAAGCACAACACCCUGAGCGUUGUCUUGGCACAGCUUAACACCCUGCUCCAAACCAAACCACCUGGAUUGUUCUGCUUUACAAGACCAGCAUCACCAGCAUUCCAGUCAACAGAGGAGGCUGUUGGUGAGCUCAUGUUGACAUAGGUAGAAGGAAGCAACAAGGAAAAAAAAUGUGUGUAUUAAACAGUGCCUGAAAGCACAAGCUCAACAAGGUAAAACCACUGAAAUACAUUUUCCAACUUCAGCACACAAAUUCUUCUGAGAAUUGGGUUCAAAAAGAAUGAAAACAGUUGUAGACAAUGAAGACAGAAUGUCUGUAACUAACACAUUCACCUGCAUCUUCUAGGAAUCAAGAAACUGGACUUCUAUAAAGACAAACUGCCUUUUCAUUUAGUUUCAGUACUCCUUUCAAAGUCCAUGACUGUACUGACCAUAUAUGAUCAAUAAUGUCUAAAAACUUAUUUCAAGUUUCUUCUCCCAAAUGGGCUUGUAAUGGUGACAGAAACAGAAGCUGAGUUUCUCAAGUGCCCAGAAAAACUCGAUUUUCCUGAAAUUCCUUUUAAGAAGAAAUUGAGGAAGCUGCAAA